UACGGGGGGGGCAAGCGUUGUUCGGAAUUACUGGGCGUAAAGGGCUCGUAGGCGGCCAACUAAGUCGGAUGUGAAAUCCCCAGGCUCAAUCUGGGAACUGCAUCCGAUACUGGAUGGCUUGAAUUCCGGGAGAGGGAUGCAGAAUUCCAGGUGUAGCGGUGAAAUGCGUAGAUAUCUGGAGGAAUACCGGUGGCGAAGGCGGCAUCCUGGACCGACAUUGACGCUGAGGAGCGAAAGCCAGGGGAGCAAAGCGGG
rnacentral:rRNA from 1 species